rnacentral:rRNA from 1 species
UACGUAGGUGACAAGCGUUGUCCGGAUUUACUGGGCGUAAAGAGCGCGCAGGCGGUCGUUCAAGUCGAGUGUGAAAGCCCCCGGCUCCAACUGGGGAGGGUCAUUCGAUACUGAUCGACUCGAAGGCAGGAGAGGGUAGUGGAAUUCCCGGUGUAGUGGUGAAAUGACGUAGAUAUCGGGAGGAACACCAGUGGCGAAGGCGACUACCUGGCCUGUUCUUGACGCUGAGGCGCGAAAGCUAGGGGAGCAAACGGG